GUGACUUCACAUCCUUUGACAUCAGCACAGCCUGGAAAGGGGGAUGGGAGAGCAGGCAGAAAGCAGAAAAACCAGCUUUGAACUCUGCGUGCAAGGCCUCCUGAGCCUCAGGCCCCGCAAGGAUCCCAGCUCUCGGGAUGGCUCCGGAGGCCACAAUCCGGAUCAGACGAGAAGAAGCAAGCAGAAAAAGGAAGCAUAUGUAUGCCUGUUCUCCGUGAUCCCACCGUUUCCCAAACUGGUUCCAUAAUUCAGGGGCACCUUACACCACCUGUACUGUGUCUCCUACCUGCAAGCUAAUGUCAUUCGAGCCAAAGAUGCAGUGAGAUUCUACAGAGGUGAUGACCUAGCAGGGCUGCGAUGGACUGGGGCUUCAGGCAAGCCACACAAGCAAUCUGCCGUGAGGCGGAUCUCUUUACUUUUUAAGACAAAUGACAAGAUCAUCCUAAAAUUCACCUGGAAAAAAUAAAGGACAAGAAUGAGGACACUAACCAUAAAGUCAACAGAUUAUGACAGCGUGACCAGAGGGAGAGAAGCAGUGACCUAACCCAGCAGACACAGAGCAUGGGGAAUAAAACCACACCUGUGGCCUGGAGAAGAAGGGAGAUGACCGCUAAGUCAUAAGCAGGAAAAGUCAGCCGAAAUCUUUCCUCACACCAAAGUAAAUCGGGGAUGAGCUAGACAAGCAAACACAAAACUUCAGACGGGACAAUCAGCUCUACAGCUAGAAAAGGACACAGAAACACCUGAUGGGUACUGCUGAAAUAGGGCUAGAGAGAUGGCUCAGAGGUUAAGAGCACUGAAUGUUCUUCCAGAAGUCCUGAGUUCAUUUCCCAGCAACCACAUGGUGGCUCAUGACCAUCUAUAAUGACAUAUGGUGCCCUCUUCUGGUGUGCAGGCAUGCAUAGAGUCAGAAUGAUAUAUAUAUAUAUAUAUAUAUAUAUAUAUAUAUAUAUAUUAAAUAAAAUCCUUUAAAAAACUGAAAUAACUCAAACUUCUGCACAUUCCCCCCAAAGAAAACAUAAACACAGAUUAAUAAAAUAUAUUAAAAAAAACAUUAAGCCCUAAAUUAUCUAGUCAUAUAAAAAGAAUGGUCAGUAACUGUAUGAGAAAGUAUUUUUUUAUCUAUUAAGUACACAUGUCACGGCACAAAUGAAGAGGUCAGAGGGCAGCUUGGAGUCAGUUCUCUAUUCCCACCAUGUGGAUCCCAGGGGACAGAAGUUGGGCUUGGCAGUGGCACCUUUACCCACUGAACCAUCUCACUCGCCCAGCAUGGUAGAAAUGAUAGUAACUGCAUAUGACGGAGCUUUGACAGAGCUAUAAACUGUGCUUACUGGCUUAGAAAAUAAAAUUCAACUCAGAUACUGAGAAGCUUUUCUUAAUAAUUUUACUUUAAGAAUCCAUUCUAGAAAUACAAUAUCCAUGAAUGAAACAGUUCAUUCAGAACACAUGUAAAAAUCGCAGCUGGGCUUUAAUCCCAGCAUUGAGGAGGCAGAGGCAAGUGGAUCUCUGUGAGUUCCAGGAGAGCCAAGGCUAUACAGAGAAACCCUGUCUCAAAAAACCAAAAAGAAAUCGUGCUGAAAUAUGACACAUAACAUGAAAUGUGUAAAAAUUUAUUACAUUUACCUGCAUGUGUGUGUGUGUGUGUGUGUGUCCACACACGUCAUGGUGUGUAUCAGAGGACCACCUGCAGGAACCAGAUCUUUCCGUCUAGCUAGCAUGCGGGUCUCCCCUGGAUAGAGCUCAGAUCAUCAGUCUUGGCAGCAAUACCUUUACCUGUUGAGCACCGUCACAACCAUUUUCAAGCAUACAGCUCAGAGUUCUAGAUUCUUUUGGAUGUGUACCCUGAUGUGGAAUUGCAGCAAGACCACUCGAAAGUUCACAACAUGUCGACAUACUGUUUUUACAGGGCUUGUACCAUUUGGUGUACAAUACACAACCCAUGAGGGCCCAGUUCUCUACACUGUCAGCAAGACUGUUUUUUGUGUGUGGUCUCAGUAUAGUUUUCUUUUGCAUCAUUAAUGGUUAGUGACGCUGAGCUUGUAC